UAAUUUUACUGAAGUGCCCAGAAAGAGUAACUACUUCUUUACCAGAUGUAAUAUCCCAUCCAUGAAUUUUAAAAUCAUCGCCUGCAGCAAAGACAAGUUUUUUCUCAAUGUUCGGAUGGAAAGCUAAAAUACUGAAAUUAUAUCACAAGACAUGGUUAAGUCUUACUGGCACUUUGAAUAUUAUGAGUACAAGCGUGAUGUUGUAAGUCCCACAAUCUGACAGUACCAUCACUGCCUCCAGAAACCAUUAAAUUUGUUUCAUUACAAUGAGCAAUGUGAAAUACAGGACCUUUGCCUGCAUAUGCAUGGGGCAGUUUGAUCCAUCAAACAAACAAUGAUAUGCUACAUUUCCACAGUUUAAAAAGACCACUUUUGUGAUGUGUAAUUAUAUUUACAUCAUUACUGAACGCAGUAAAUGUAUUAAUCACAUCUUUCUCUUCAUCAUUAUCACUUUGUCCCACAUGAGAUACUAU